UAAGCCUGGAUUGCAAAACAAAGGCGGAGACUGGCCUCAAACAAUGGAAGUGAGGGGGGGUGAAGAAGCAUAGAAGAUGACUCCUGAAUGGACAUCGUUAAGAUCUUCCCACCAGAGGAUCCCGGAUCACGACACAAGACCAACAGGACUCUACGGGAUCAGAGGGAUGCCUUUGGAACUCGUCUGGUGAAACACCACUCUAGAAGAUGACCUCCAAGAAGCACCCGGGAUGUCUGUUUGAGCCACAGGGUGGUAAAAAUGGUUUGGAUGCAAGGACCACUACCAUCAAUGAGGCAAAACAGGAUGCUGUACUCAGUGCUGAUAAGAAGACCAACAGAAUGCUGAAGAAGCUCAUGUUUAGAUUUAUUACUAUGGUAGCCAAGAAAGACUGAUAAGUUUUCCCACGUUCCGUCGUGAGAGGGGUGUGUUUGAGGAGGGGUAGAUGGAAUAGGUGACUUAAAC